rnacentral:rRNA from 1 species
CCUACGGGCGGCAGCAGUGGGGAAUAUUGGUCAAUGGCCGAGAGGCUGAACCAGCCAAGUCGCGUGAGGGAAGACGGCCCUACGGGUUGUAAACCUCUUUUGUCGGGGAGCAAAGCGAGGCACGUGUGAAGCAUUGAGAGUACCCGAAGAAAAAGCAUCGGCUAACUCCGUGCCAGCAGCCGCGGUAAUACGGAGGAUGCGAGCGUUAUCCGGAGUGAUUGGGUUGAAAGGGUGCGCAGGCGGAGGGGCAAGGCAGCGGUCCACUUGCGGGGCUCAACCCCGUACUGCCGUUGAAACUGCAUCCCUUUAGUGCGCGAGACUUCUGCGGAAUGCGUUGUGUAGCGGU